AGAGCGAACGCUGGCGGCAGGCCUAAUACAUGCAAGUCGAACGGAUCCUUCGGGAUUAGUGGCGGACGGGUGAGUAACACGUGGGAACGUACCCUUUGGUUCGGAACAACUCAGGGAAACUUGAGCUAAUACCGAAUGUGCCCUUCGGGGAAAGAUUUAUCGCCAUUGGAGCGGCCCGCGUCUGAUUAGCUAGUUGGUAGGGUAAAGGCCUACCAAGGCUACGAUCAGUAGCUGGUCUGAGAGGAUGAUCAGCCACACUGGGACUGAGACACGGCCCAGACUCCUACGGGAGGCAGCAGUAGGGAAUCUUGCGCAAUGGGCGAAAGCCUGACGCAGCCAUGCCGCGUGAAUGAUGAAGGUCUUAGGAUUGUAAAAUUCUUUCAGCGGGGACGAUAAUGACGGUACCCGCAGAAGAAGCCCCGGCUAACUUCGCGCCAGCAGCCGC
rnacentral:rRNA from 1 species